GCUAUACCACGUUGAAAGAUUGAUACCGGUCCAAUCACCGAAGUUAAGCAACGUCGAGCCUGGUAUCUACCUAGAUGGGUGACCGUUUGGGAAUACCAGGUGUUGUAAG